CUAACAGUCCCUUGGCUGAGAGAGUCAGCAGCGAACAUGCUGUGCUGCUGUCCCAGGGCUCCAGGCCACAGCCUCAGGACCCCAUGCAGGGAAAGCAGUUGGGAAUGAGUGAGAGGAUGGUUGACUAAGUCUAGGCGCUACAGGCCACGCACCAAGAACUGCCCAUCCUCAUGGGCAGCACAGAGUAGGUCUCACCACAUCCAGAGACCUCGGGACCUGAGAUGUGAGGGAGCCCAGGACAGGUCUCCCUGGGCCUGGCCACCAGGCACUCUGAGACACUGAGUACAGGACAAGAACAUUUAGGCCUGCCCACCACUGGAAAUCAGGGGGCCCAGAGCCUGGCAGAGGUCUGCACAGUGAGGACAGCACAGGCAGGCAUGCCCAACACCCUGAGGGUGGCCUCAGGGCAGGCCUUCCUGGACAGCUGGCCCAUCAAUGGACCCUCCUUCCUGGACCCCAGAAGGGCCUGCAUUUCCUCCCCACAGGAGGGGAUGGUGGGAAGCUCCAUGUCCUCUGUCCUUGAGCCCUUGCUGGAGCUGCACUCCCAGGUGCAUCACACUUCCAAACUUGUCCUGGCCCAGCUGGAGCAUGCCUAGCCCACUGAGGCAGAGACCAAGGGUGAGGAGGACUGUGGCAUGAGGCUGUGGGCAUGUUGGGGAGAGAUGGGCCUUUGGACACAGAGAGAGCGUUCUGGUGCUGCGUGUCCCAGUAACCUUGUGACACUCAGUAGCCAGAGGGCUGUUGUGUCUGGGGGGACUUUCUGGGGGAGGCUUCCUGCACAGAGCUCUCUGACAAGCA
rnacentral:lncRNA from 1 species